rnacentral:rRNA from 1 species
AUUGAACGCUGGCGGCAGGCCUAACACAUGCAAGUCGAGCGGAUGAAGGGAGCUUGCUCCUGGAUUCAGCGGCGGACGGGCGAGUAAUGCCUAGGAAUCUGCCUGGCAGUGGGGGCUAACGUCCGGACACGGGCGCUAAUACCGCAUACGUCCUGAGGGAGAAAGUGGGGGAUCUUCGGACCUCACGCUAUCAGAUGAGCCUAGGUCGGAUUAGCUAGUUGGUGGGGUAAAGGCCUACCAAGCCGACGAUCCGUAGCUGGUCUGAGAGGAUGAUCAGUCACACUGGAACUGAGACACGGUCCAGACUCCUACGGGAGGCAGCAGUGGGGAAUAUUGGACAAUGGGCGAAAGCCUGAUCCAGCCAUGCCGCGUGUGUGAAGAAGGUCUUCGGAUUGUAAAGCACUUUAAGUUGGGAGGAAGAGCAGUAAGUUAAUACCUUGCUGUUUUGACGUUACCAACAGAAUAAGCACCGGCUAACUUCGUG